GACGAACGCUGGCGGCGUGCCUAACACAUGCAAGUCUAGGGAGAAAGGGGUAGCAAUAUCCCGAGUACACCGGCGCAAGGGUGAGUAACACGUAGGCAACCUGCCUUCAGGACGGGAAUAACCCCGAGAAAUCGAGACUAAUACCCGAUAAUGUUCCGCUGCAGCAUUGCAGUGGCAUUAAAUGUCGCAAGACGCCUGAAGAUGGGCCUGCGUCCCAUUAGANAGUUGGCGGGGUAAUGGCCCACCAAGUCGACGAUGGGUAGCUGGUCUGAGAGGACGACCAGCCACACUGGAACUGAGACACGGUCCAGACUCCUACGGGAGGCAGCAGUGAGGAAUAUUGCGCAAUGCCCGAAAGGGUGACGCAGCGACGCCGCGUGGAGGAUGAAGGCCCUAUGGGUCGUAAACUCCUUUGUGGGGAAGAAUGUUUCGCUAUAGGCGAACGUGACGGUA
rnacentral:rRNA from 1 species